rnacentral:rRNA from 1 species
CCUACGGGGGGCUGCAGUGAGGAAUAUUGGUCAAUGGACGAGAGUCUGAACCAGCCAAGUAGCGUGAAGGAUGACUGCCCUAUGGGUUGUAAACUUCUUUUAUAUGGGAAUAGAAUGUUCCACGUGUGGGAUUUUGUAUGUACCAUAUGAAUAAGGAUCGGCUAACUCCGUGCCAGCAGCCGCGGUACUACGGAGGAUCCGAGCGUUAUUCGGAUUUGUUGGGUUUAAAGGGAGCGCAGGUGGAUUGUUAAGUCAGUUGUGAAAGUGUGGGGCUCAACCGGAGAAUUGCAGUUGAAACUGGUAGUCUUGAGUACAGUAGAGGUGGGCGGAAUUCGUGGUGUAGCGGUGAAAUGCUUAGAUAUCACGAAGAACUCCGAUUGCGAAGGCAGUUCACUGGACUGCAACUGACACUGAGGCUCGAAAGUGUGGGUAUCAAACAGGAUUAGAUACCCCAGUAGUC